rnacentral:rRNA from 1 species
AUUGAACGCUGGCGGCACGCCAUACACAUGCAAGUCGAACGGCAGCACGGGAGCAAUCCUGGUGGCGAGUGGCGAACGGGUGAGUAAAGUAUCGGAACGUGCCCAGUCGUGGGGGAUAACGUAGCGAAAGUUACGCUAAUACCGCAUACGAUCUAUGGAUGAAAGCGGGGGAUCGCAAGACCUCGCGCGAUUGGAGCGGCCGAUAUCAGAUUAGGUAGUUGGUGGGGUAAAGGCUCACCAAGCCGACGAUCUGUAGCUGGUCUGAGAGGACGACCAGCCACACUGGGACUGAGACACGGCCCAGACUCCUACGGGAGGCAGCAGUGGGGAAUUUUGGACAAUGGGCGAAGGCCUGAUCCAGCCAUGCCGCGUGCAGGAUGAAGGCCUUCGGGUUGUAAACUGCUUUUGUACGGAACGAAAAGGUUUGGCCUAAUAAGCUGAGCUCAUGACGGUACCGUAAGAAUAAGCACCGGCUAACUACGUGCCAGCCGCCGCAGUAA